UGAUUGGUCCCCAGCCUUCCCACGUGACUGGAGCGCAUAGCAACGUGUCCUGGUUACAGGAAGCACUGCAGUGGGACACUCUCUAGGGGGCUACAGCGCUUGUAGAAGCGCCGAUCGGCACCCUUAGAGUAUUCCCACCUCGGAUUCAUUUCAAUCUAACCAUUAUCUAACAAUUUUCCAUCCAGGUGGGGCAAAGCCAGGGGUCUGAUAAAUACAGGUGGCGAACACAUGUAUGGUUUGAUCUUCACAUCCCUGUAUAGCAGUACUUGAACGUUAAUGAAGGGUCAAUAAACAAAAGCAGAUGACAGAUGUCAAGAAGAUGAACUACUAACAUGAAAGCUGACCAUUACAAGAAGAAAAAAAAAAAAAGAAAAAGAAAAAAUCUUUGUUGUGGAGACCAUUGCAUAAAUGAUGAAAGGCUAGACAAGGAAAGCAGCCGAGGAGAGUUAUUGCAGAUUGUAUUUCAACAUGGGGACAUUGUGUUUGGAAAUAGUUGGCUCAGUUAACUCUCCAGGGCUACAUCUUCGCUGUGACAUAAGUGGGGAAACAAUACAUCAUAAAUCUUCAUGUCCUGUACUUUUACUGUAAGUUAAGCCUUUUGGUUAUUUAAAGGUAGGCUACUAGUUAUCGUGGAUUGACAGAUGCAAAGUGUAAAAUGUUCUACUCUAUGGAUUUACUACACUAAAGCCUUAUCAUAAGCCAAAAGAACUUCUAUCAUUCCUUGUCAUAAUAAUAGGGGGGACAGUUAUUUUAAGAUAUAUAUUUAAUACAUUCAAUGUUUCAGUGGGGCAACGUGCCAUAAAAGUCAUAUUAUGACUUCAUGUGUAUACAUAUACAAUGGAGAAAAAGCAGCACACCACAAGGAAAAGUUGAAAACGUGUGCUAACCAGCGAGGAGUUGAUAUAAGAAGAAAUUCAUGCUACAAACAUUUUUUUUUCCACCAUUUUGGAAUGCAUCAAUGAUCUUUUUGUUUUGUAUAUAUAGAUAGAUUUAGUUUCCUAAAGUUUGUUUUUUAGGUGCUGCCUAGCAACUAAUUCACUUCCUGUCUCGGUGACUACUGUUUUACUAGUCACAAAAGGUUCUGUCUUCUACUCAGUACUGAAGCAGGGUAAAAUACAGCCUAUUGCAGUUGCAUGGUGGUAAUUAUAUGAUGAAAAUGCUUGCACAAAAAUAUGUUUUGUGCCAAUUUAUUUAUUAUUCUUUUGUGUUGUUUACUUUUUCUUCA